rnacentral:rRNA from 1 species
AGAGUUUGAUCAUGGCUCAGAGUGAACGCUGGCGGCGUGCUUAACACAUGCAAGUCGAACGAGAACGGAUUAGCUUGCUAUGAUUGUCAGCUAAGUGGCGCACGGGUGAGUAAUAUAUAGGUAACAUGCCCCAAAGAAGAGGAUAACGUUUGGAAACGAACGCUAAUACUCUAUAUGCCUUUAAGUCAAAAGACUGCAAGGGAAAUAUUUAUAGCUUUGGGAUUGGCCUGUACGGUAUCAGCUAGUUGGUGAGGUAAGAGCUCACCAAGGCAAUGACACCUAACUGGUUUGAGAGGAUGAUCAGUCACACUGGAACUGAGACACGGUCCAGACUCCUACGGGAGGCAGCAGUGGGGAAUAUUGCACAAUGGACGAAAGUCUGAUGCAGCAACGCCGCGUGGAGGAUGACACAUUUCGGUGCGUAAACUCCUUUUAUAUAGGAAGAUAAUGACGGUACUAUAUGAAUAAGCACCGGCUAACUCCGUGCCAGCAGCCGCGGUAAUACGGAGGGUGCGAGCGUUACUCGGAAUUACUGGGCGUAAAGCGCGCGUAGGCGGCCUGAUAAGUUGGAUGUGAAAGCCCUGGGCUCAACCUAGGAACUGCAUUCAAAACUGUCAGGCUAGAGUAUGGUAGAGGAUAGUGGAAUUUCCGGUGUAGCGGUGAAAUGCGUAGAGAUCGGAAGGAACAUCAGUGGCGAAGGCGGCUAUCUGGACCAAUACUGACGCUGAGGUGCGAAAGCGUGGGGAGCAAACAGGAUUAGAUACCCUGGUAGUCCACGCCGUAAACGAUGUCAACUAGCUGUCUGUGGACUUGAUCUCUCUUAGUGGCGCAGCUAACGCAAUAAGUAGACCGCCUGGGGAGUACGGCCGCAAGGUUAAAACUCAAAUGAAUUGACGGGGGCCCGCACAAGCGGUGGAGCAUGUGGUUUAAUUCGAUGCAACGCGAAGAACCUUACCUGGUCUUGACAUCCUACGAACUUACUAGAGAUAGUUUGGUGCCUUCGGGAUCGUAGUGACAGGUGCUGCAUGGCUGUCGUCAGCUCGUGUCGUGAGAUGUUGGGUUAAGUCCCGUAACGAGCGCAACCCUUAUCCUUAUUUGCCAUCACGUAAUGAUGGGAUCUCUAGGGAGACUGCCGGUGACAAACCGGAGGAAGGUGAGGACGACGUCAAGUCAUCAUGGCCCUUACGUCCAGGGCUACACACGUGCUACAAUGGGGUAUACAAAGAGCCGCAAUACUGUGAAGUGGAGCAAAUCUCAAAAAUACCUCCCAGUUCGGAUAGUAGUCUGCAACUCGACUACUUGAAGUUGGAAUCGCUAGUAAUCGUAGAUCAGCAAUGCUACGGUGAAUACGUUCCCGGGUCUUGUACUCACCGCCCGUCACACCAUGGGAGUUGAUUUCAUUCGAAGCGGGGAUGCUAAAGUAGCUACCCUCCACAGUGGAAUUAGCGACUGGGGUGAAGUCGUAACAAGGUAACCGUA